rnacentral:rRNA from 1 species
UCAUAUGCUUGUCUCAAAGACUAAGCCAUGCAUGUCUAAGUACAGGCUUUCACAAAGCGAAACCGCGAAUGGCUCAUUAGGUCGGACAUGGUUCCUUAGAUCGUACACUCCUACUUGGAUAACUGUGGUAAUUCUAGAGCUAAUACAUGCGAGCAAGCUCCGACCUCGCGGGAAGAGCGCUUUUAUUAGAUCAAAACCAAUCGGGCCCCCGGGUCCGUCUGUUUGGUGACUCUGGAUAACUUUGUGCUGAUCGCACGGCCCCGAGCCGGCGACGUAUCUUUCAAGUGUCCGCCCUAUCAACUUUCGACGGUACGUGAUAUGCCUACCGUGGUUAUAACGGGUAACGGGGAAUCAGGGUUCGAUUCCGGAGAGGGAG